rnacentral:rRNA from 1 species
UACGAAGGGGGCUAGCGUUGCUCGGAAUUACUGGGCGUAAAGCGCACGUAGGCGGCUUCUAAGUCGGGGGUGAAAUCCUGGAGCUCAACUCCAGAACUGCCUUCGAUACUGGAAAGCUCGAGUCCGGGGAGAGGUGAGUGGAACUGCGAGUGUAGAGGUGAAAUUCGUAGAUAUUCGCAAGAACACCAGUGGCGAAGGCGGCUCACUGGCCCGGUACUGACGCUGAGGUGCGAAAGCGUGGGGAGCAAACAGG